AGUAGAAUUGCUGGGUCAAAUGGUAACUGUGUUUAACUUUUUGAGAAACUGAAACUGUUUUCCAAAGCAGCUGUACAAUUUUACAUUCCCAUCAGCAAU
rnacentral:pre_miRNA from 1 species